rnacentral:rRNA from 1 species
AGAGUUUGAUCCUGGCUCAGAUUGAACGCUGGCGGCAGGCUUAACACAUGCAAGUCGAGCGGUAGCACAGGGGAGCUUGCUCCCUGGGUGACGAGCGGCGGACGGGUGAGUAAUGUCUGGGAAACUGCUUGAUGGAGGGGGAUAACUACUGGAAACGGUAGCUAAUACCGCAUAACGUCGCAAGACCAAAGAGGGGGACCCUCGGGCCUCUUGCCAUCAGAUGUGCCCAGAUGGGAUUAGCUAGUAGGUGGGGUAAUGGCUCACCUAGGCGACGAUCCCUAGCUGGUCUGAGAGGAUGACCAGCCACACUGGAACUGAGACACGGUCCAGACUCCUACGGGAGGCAGCAGUGGGGAAUAUUGCACAAUGGGCGCAAGCCUGAUGCAGCCAUGCCGCGUGUGUGAAGAAGGCCUUCGGGUUGUAAAGCACUUUCAGCGAGGAGGAAGGUGGUGAACUUAAUACGUUCAUCAAUUGACGUUACUCGCAGAAGAAGCACCGGCUAACUCCGUGCCAGCAGCCGCGGUAAUACGGAGGGUGCAAGCGUUAAUCGGAAUUACUGGGCGUAAAGCGCACGCAGGCGGUUUGUUAAGUCAGAUGUGAAAUCCCCGGGCUCAACCUGGGAACUGCAUUUGAAACUGGCAAGCUAGAGUCUCGUAGAGGGGGGUAGAAUUCCAGGUGUAGCGGUGAAAUGCGUAGAGAUC